rnacentral:rRNA from 1 species
UACGUAGGGUCCGAGCGUUGUCCGGAAUCAUUGGGCGUAAAGCGCGUGUAGGCGGUCCGGUAAGUCCGCUGUGAAAGUCGGGGGCUCAACCCUCGAAUGCCGGUGGAUACUGUCGGGCUAGAGUGCGGAAGAGGCGAGUGGAAUUCCUGGUGUAGCGGUGAAAUGCGCAGAUAUCAGGAGGAACACCAAUUGCGAAGGCAGCUCGCUGGGACGUUACUGACGCUGAGACGCGAAAGCGUGGGGAGCAAACAGG